GACGAACGCUGGCGGCGUGCCUAAUACAUGCAAGUAGAACGCUGAAGGAGGAGCUUGCUUCUCCGGAUGAGUUGCGAACGGGUGAGUAACGCGUAGGUAACCUGCCUGGUAGCGGGGGAUAACUAUUGGAAACGAUAGCUAAUACCGCAUAAGAGUAGAUGUCGCAUGACAUUUGCUUAAAAGGUGCAACUGCACCACUACCAGAUGGACCUGCGUUGUAUUAGCUAGUUGGUGAGGUAACGGCUCACCAAGGCAACGAUACAUAGCCGACCUGAGAGGGUGAUCGGCCACACUGGGACUGAGACACGGCCCAGACUCCUACGGGAGGCAGCAGUAGGGAAUCUUCGGCAAUGGACGGAAGUCUGACCGAACAACGCCGCGUGAGUGAAGAAGGUUUUCGGAUCGUAAAGCUCUGUUGUAAGAGAAGAAAGAGUGUGAGAGUGGAAAGUUCACACUGUGACGGUAUCUUACCAGAAAGGGACGGCUAACUACGUG
rnacentral:rRNA from 1 species